rnacentral:rRNA from 1 species
AAGUUGGGGGGCCACCCACACCAAUCCUUUAUUAUAUUAUUAUUUGUUCUACCAAAUCACCCUUGCCCGUUAAUACUUUCCUGAGUUCAUAAGAAAGGGGGCAGAGUAUACACGGGUACUCCCCCGAGGGGGAACCUUGACCGGGUUAACCCAUACAUUUUCCCCAGCAAAGAGAAAGCCUUCGGGUUCCUGAAGACGCCCCGGGUCAUUAUUAGUGGGGAGAACGCUCCACAAGCCCAGAUCAUAGCGCCUGAGAGGUGUUCGCCCCACUGGGAUGAACCCGCCCAGAUUCUUCGGAAGCACAGUAGGAUCUUGGCAAUGACGAAGUCUGACCGACCACGCCGCGUGAUGAAGAAGUUUUCGGAUCGUAAACUCUGUUGUUAGAGAGGACAAGGACGUUAGUAACUGAACGUCCCCUGACGGUAUCUAACCAGAAAGCCACGGCUAACUACGUGCCAGCAGCCGCGGUAAUACGUAGGUGGCAAGCGUUGUCCGGAUUUAUUGGGCGUAAAGCGAGCGCAGGCGGUUUCUUAAGUCUGAUGUGAAAGCCCCCGGCUCAACCGGGGAGGGUCAUUGGAAACUGGGAGACUUGAGUGCAGAAGAGGAGAGUGGAAUUCCAUGUGUAGCGGUGAAAUGCGUAGAUAUAUGGAGGAACACCAGUGGCGAAGGCGGCUCUCUGGUCUGUAACUGACGCUGAGGCUCGAAAGCGUGGGGAGCAAACAGGAUUAGAUACCCUGGUAGUCCACGCCGUAAACGAUGAGUGCUAAGUGUUGGAGGGUUUCCGCCCUUCAGUGCUGCAGCAAACGCAUUAAGCACUCCGCCUGGGGAGUACGACCGCAAGGUUGAAACUCAAAGGAAUUGACGGGGGCCCGCACAAGCGGUGGAGCAUGUGGUUUAAUUCGAAGCAACGCGAAGAACCUUACCAGGUCUUGACAUCCUUUGACCACUCUAGAGAUAGAGCUUUCCCUUCGGGGACAAAGUGACAGGUGGUGCAUGGUUGUCGUCAGCUCGUGUCGUGAGAUGUUGGGUUAAGUCCCGCAACGAGCGCAACCCUUAUUGUUAGUUGCCAUCAUUUAGUUGGGCACUCUAGCGAGACUGCCGGUGACAAACCGGAGGAAGGUGGGGAUGACGUCAAAUCAUCAUGCCCCUUAUGACCUGGGCUACACACGUGCUACAAUGGGAAGUACAACGAGUCGCUAGACCGCGAGGUCAUGCAAAUCUCUUAAAGCUUCUCUCAGUUCGGAUUGCAGGCUGCAACUCGCCUGCAUGAAGCCGGAAUCGCUAGUAAUCGCGGAUCAGCACGCCGCGGUGAAUACGUUCCCGGGCCUUGUACACACCGCCCGUCACACCACGAGAGUUUGUAACACCCGAAGUCGGUGAGGUAACCUUUUUGGAGCCAGCCGCCUAAGGUGGGAUAGAUGAUUGGGGUGAAGUUGAGUGAACAGUGUAGGG